GCGGAGAUGCCGGAGCGGCCAAACGGGGUUGACUCAAGAUCAACUGGCUUAGUGCCUUCGCAGGUUCGAAUCCUGCUCUCCGCA
rnacentral:tRNA from 1 species